UUAUAGUUUAUUGUAACAAUCAAUUCCGUUUUUAAUCAUAUUGAUGUCUUGCAUCUUUUCAAGGGUCUUUUACACAGAACACCACUUGUAGAUUAUCAGAUAUAUAUUUUAAUAAUUAUAUUAGAUUUUCUUGUAAUUUAUGUACAUGUAAGAUUUAAUUUUUUAAUUAUUGAACUAUAUAAAUACUGCAACUAAUUCAACGUAUAUGAUGGUCAAUAUCUAACGUCAGUUUACUGUAAUAUGUUCUAAGGAAAGAACAAUCGGCUAUCAUAAAUCUGAAAAUGACAUUUAUAAAUGUAUAUAUAUUUGUAUAUAUAAUGAAUCUUGAAAAACCAGACAUACCUGUACAUUAAAAUGGUAAGAGGGGCAGUGCUAGCAUGCCAUAAGGAAUGAGCAUCGAACACCCAAAAAAUUGGUGCAAAAUCUGCCACUUCUAAUAUGAUGCAGGUUCCUGGCACCCCAGAAAACGAAUAAAUGGCCACUAAAAUAAAAAUGAAGAAUUACACAUAUGUAAUUAAAUUGUACAUUUACAAUUUAUUAAUUGGAUAUAGAUACAUACUUUCCCAUGAAACUGAGGAACUUUUAAGCCAUGUGAAGUAAAAUAAUUAACUGUCUCCCAAGUGCAAUCAUAACUACAAUCUUCUUCACAAGUCCAAAAUAACAAUCUUAGAGCUAAAGGAGGUUGCACUUUGAAAUCAUCAUCUAUAAAAUAUUAAUAAAUUAUCUAAGAUGUAGAAUA